GGGAUAAUAAAAAUCCAUACGUGUAUAAUACUUCAGUCCUUUCUGUUUUGAAUUUUGCACUUUAACCCUCCACUUUUAACUUGAUCAUGCUAUAGCAGUUGAGUUUCAAUUUCAAUAAUACUAAACAUUUUAAUCCCUCAAAUUCUUAAUUUUUACACUAAUAGUAUUUAAGGACUAAAUUGUAUGUUUUUUAAACAACUGGUACUUAAGUGUUUUUCUAGCAAAACCUUUGGCUGGGUUAAAUUAUCUUUAUGAAAUUUUUAUGUUAUGUAAUUAAAAAGUUGAUGUUGAUUGAAUUAAUAAAUGGGUGUCUCGUGUUUUUGGCAUGCAGUGGCAAAAGAGUUACAUUGAGAAUUUUCAUAUUAAUUGUUAAAUUGUUUAGCUAGAAUUGUCUUUGGCACAAAAAGUUUGUUGUUAGCUAGAUAUUGCUAAUUUUGUUGCAUCAGCUAGACCUGGCCAGCGGUCUGGUCCGGGCCAGAUCUGCUGGCCUGUUUCUGGUUCAACUGUUAGGGUUAAUCUGGACCAGACCAAGGGUACCACCUUAGUUUUGGUCCAAGUUUUAAUCAAAUCCAAUGGUUGAAAUUUUUAAAAUUUUUAAAAUGAAAAAAAACCAGUUCUGGCCUUGACCAGACCUACUGAUUCCAGUCCGGUUUUGGUCAAUCCAGGUUUGACUGAUUUCAGUCCAGACCAUGGUCAGGUCUAGCAUCAGCCAUAGGGUUUUAUUUUGCAAUAUUUACUUGUGAACUUUUUACGCUAUCCUGAUAACAUAUGGACUUGCAUUUUAAUUAGAUGGCAUUGUCAUGGAUAUAUUCAACUAAGUUUGCAGCCAACUUCAGGAUGUUAGAAUGUUAAUCUUAGUUAGAGGCUUUUUUACCUGAACACGUACUGGAGGGCCUUCUUCUGUUAGGAGGAUCAUAAACGAUAAAUCUUAAAAACUGCUAUUCCAUGUUUUCUGGUGUAAUGGUUCAUAUAUUUUCAACAGAAACUAAUAGUUGCUUGUGAAUAAAUACCUAAGAUCAAAUGUCUAACUCAUCUUUCCUCAUUUUCAGUAUCAACUUUUGGAGCUGU
rnacentral:misc_RNA from 1 species